GACGAACGCUGGCGGCGUGCCUAAUACAUGCAAGUCGAGCGAAGUUUUUCUGGUGCUUGCACCGGAAAAACUUAGCGGCGCACGGGUGAGUAACACGUAAAGAACCUGCCUCAUAGACUGGGACAACUAUUGGAAACGAUAGCUAAUACCGGAUAAUAGCAUUAACUGCAUGGUUGAUGUUUAAAAGUUGGUUUUGCUAACACUAUGAGAUGGCUUUGCGGUGCAUUAGCUAGUUGGUGGGGUAAAGGCCUACCAAGGCGACGAUGCAUAGCCGACCUGAGAGGGUGAUCGGCCACACUGGGACUGAGACACGGCCCAGACUCCUACGGGAGGCAGCAGUAGGGAAUCUUCCGCAAUGGGCGAAAGCCUGACGGAGCAACGCCGCGUGAGUGAAGAAGGAUUUCGGUUCGUAAAGCUCUGUUGUUAGGGAAGAAUGAUUGUGUAGUAACUAUACACAGUAGAGACGGUACCUAACCAGAAAGCCACGGCUAACUACGUG
rnacentral:rRNA from 1 species